AGCGAACGCUGGCGGCAGGCUUAACACAUGCAAGUCGAGCGGGCGUAGCAAUACGUCAGCGGCAGACGGGUGAGUAACGCGUGGGAACGUACCUUUUGGUUCGGAACAACACAGGGAAACUUGUGCUAAUACCGGAUAAGCCCUUACGGGGAAAGAUUAUCGCCGAAAGAUCGGCCCGCGUCUGAUUAGCUAGUUGGUAGGGUAAUGGCCUACCAAGGCGACGAUCAGUAGCUGGUCUGAGAGGAUGAUCAGCCACAUUGGGACUGAGACACGGCCCAAACUCCUACGGGAGGCAGCAGUGGGGAAUAUUGGACAAUGGGGGCAACCCUGAUCCAGCCAUGCCGCGUGAGUGAUGAAGGCCCUAGGGUUGUAAAGCUCUUUUGUGCGGGAAGAUAAUGACGGUACCGCAAGAAUAAGCCCCGGCUAACUUCGUGCCAGCAGCCGCAGUAA
rnacentral:rRNA from 1 species